GGAAGCUCAUCACAGUCACAUUCAUCAUCAAUCAGGUGGAUGAAAAAGUUGUGAAAAUUGAUCAGGUCCAAAGGAAUUUGGUGUUUCGGUCUGAUGUAUUUGGAUGGUAAAAUAUGUUGUUGGUAAACCGUUAUGAGUGAUGUAGAGUAAUAUGUUCUCUGUGAAACGAUUGAAUAUUUUCAUAGCCAUUUUCAAAACGUGAUGUCAGAUGUACGGCAACUCAGUUGCACAGGUGUCCUUUUUUGCCAAGCUAAAUGGUUGUAUACCUAAAUCCUUGUGGCAUGAAAACAUGAUGUCAAUAUUUAUUUAAUUUGAUGUUAAAGAAUUUCCACCCAUGAUGCAACAACAUGACACUUUACAGAUCAUUGUCUGAUUUUCAUGACAAAUUUUCAUUUCUCAUUGAUUAGACAAAUUCCCUGUUUAUCAAGUUCAAUCAAAGAAAUAAUGGAGCUCCAGGGAUUGCAACUGUUGAUUUGUUUCAAAUAGCUUGGCUGAUAUGAUUUUGGUUCAACUUCUUUCUAAUUCAGUUUUUAACAGAGCCAUGGAAACACCUUCUUUUGCCAGAUUUGAUAGAUCUGUAUUCUCUUUCCUAGUGUUGGCGAAUGAAACUAGCAAUAACCAAGUCAUUUGAACCUGAGAACAUAGCAGUUGGUUUAAGUUAUGCUGAAUCUCCAAGAUAUUGAAGAGCCCAUAAAAUAAAAUUCUUUGCUGCCACUUUUUUUAGUGAAAAAUGAGAGGUAAUGCAGCCAUAAGAAGGUUGUAUGACCACUACUUGAGUUCUAAUUUAGGCUCAUAUAAGAUUGAUUGAUAUGAGGUAUUUCCUUCGGUUUCAACAAUCUGGUUUGACAUUAUUGUCAUCUAAUAAUUCUUCCAUCAGGUUAGUCUCUUGCUGCUGUUCCACAUCCAUAUUUUGGACUUGAUAUCUUUUGUAAAGUGACUUUUCCUUAAAAGUUUCCACAGGUUUUUUUAACAGGGUGGUAAAGUCUUAGCUUCUUCAUUGCAUAGAGGUUGGGUGAGAACGGGACGUGUUUCAUCAUUAUCAAGUAAGUCAAUAGCCGCAAGCUGCAGAAGAAAGGGUUGCAUGUCCAUCCUGCUCGAAGGUCACGGAGAUGAUUACGUUAAACCUGUCAUGCAGUGGUGUAGAUUUUGGGUGAGAACGGGGCGUGUUUCAUAUCAUCAUUAUUAAGCAGGUACAAUAGAUAGCCGCAAGGCUUAUGAGGUUAGGAUGCGAAAAAAAUCGUAUAAAAGGAGAGAGAAAAGGAGGUAGAAAUCAGUCGAGUGAGUAUCUCUGACACGGCAACAACUGCAGUGUAUUAUCUGUCACUAACUGCAUUCCUCAUCGUGGAACCAAAUUGCAAUCAUGCAGGUACAAUUACCGCACGGCUCGAGUUGAAAGGUGAAUAACGAGAAGGAAAAACUUAUUAAGCGAGAGAAAUGUCGAUAAAACUCAAUCAAAUGAGCAUCUCCGACAUGGCAAAUUGGCAACUUCCAGUUCGCAAUUAUGGGCAAAUAUUCUUAUUUUUUUAUUUAGUUAUGUAUCAAUUCCGUUUGUCUCUUUUUGUUAGUAUGCCAGUUAUUAUUGAUUAUUAAUGUGAAAACUAAUUGCUCGGUUAACCAUAGCGUCGUGCUGCUGUUGGGUGUUGUAUCGUUGAUGACUGUGUCGACCACUGGUGUACCGAUGUCUUCUCUUGGUAUGGCGGAUACCAAACUGCAACGCCGCCGCCUUACUACCCAAAAGCAACUCACGCUACGACCAGUUACUGCGCCGAGACCCUUAAGUACAACACCACUAAGGUACUGGUGUAUUAUACCACAACUUAACUGCCCCCAGCUACUACACUGACGCCCCGAAGUAUUACUCUGCCCCGAGCUACACCAACAAGGUACCGGGGUACUACACGAAUACGUAUGCUGCCCCAACCUACUACACCGAUGGCUAAAGUAGUACUACUCUGUUCCCAGCUACUACAACGAGGCUCCGGCUGAUAACUAAACCCAAACGGUAGCUAAAAGCCUAGCUACAACACCGAAGCUCCCAAGUACUACAUCAAAGAAGUCGCAUAUUACACAAGUCAACCACGUCCGCCGCCCCAGUUUACUUCACCGAGGAACCCAAGUAUUACUCUGCUCCAAGCUACUACCAAACCGAGGCUCAUAAGUACUACCAGCAACGUUCCUGAGUGUUACACCACUACUUACGCUGCUACGACCUACACACCGAAGUUCCAUAGUAUUCCUAUGCCCCGAGUUACUACACUACUAGAGCACCAACAAAUUUCAACAAAUCUUUCUUCUUCGUUUACUGUUCCGAUUGUUGCUGUCCAAUGAGGUUUGAUAUUGCAGCUAACAUUUAUGUGCAUCACAUUUAAUUUUGGCUGUUACUUGGUGCUGGUAUUGUGUUUUAAAAGUUGCAAUUUGUAUUUUGUUCAAUUGGCUUUUUGUCUAUUUCGUUCGGAUGUUAAGAUAUAAGAAGAAAG